rnacentral:rRNA from 1 species
UACAGAGGUGGCAAGCGUUGUUCGGAAUUACUGGGCGUAAAGGGCGCGUAGGCGGCCUUCUUAGUCAGACGUGAAAUCCCCGGGCUUAACUCGGGAACUGCGUCUGAUACUGGAAGGCUGGAGUUCGGGAGAGGAAUGUGGAAUUCCAGGUGUAGCGGUGAAAUGCGUAGAUAUCUGGAGGAACACCGGUGGCGAAGGCGGCAUUCUGGACCGAAACUGACGCUGAGGCGCGAAAGCCAGGGGAGCAAACGGG